UACAGAGGGGGCAAGCGUUGCUCGGAAUUAUUGGGCGUAAAGCGCACGUAGGCGGCUUGGCAAGUCGGAUGUGAAAUCCCUCGGCUCAACCAAGGAAGUGCAUCCGAAACUGCCGAGCUUGAGUACUUAAGAGGAUCGCGGAAUUCCCGGUGUAGAGGUGAAAUUCGUAGAUAUCGGGAGGAACACCAGUGGCGAAGGCGGCGAUCUGGGAAGAUACUGACGCUGAGGUGCGAAAGCGUGGGGAGCAAACAGG
rnacentral:rRNA from 1 species